rnacentral:rRNA from 1 species
CCUACGGGCGGCUGCAGUGGGGAAUAUUGCACAAUGGGGGAAACCCUGAUGCAGCAACGCCGCGUGAGGGAUGACGGCCUUCGGGUUGUAAACCUCUUUUGGCAGGGAAGAAGCGAGAGUGACGGUACCUGCAGAAAAAGCGCCGGCUAACUACGUGCCAGCAGCCGCGGUAAUACGUAGGGCGCGAGCGUUGUCCGGAAUUAUUGGGCGUAAAGAGCUCGUAGGCGGUUUGUCGCGUCUGCUGUGAAAGCCUGGGGCUCAACUCCGGGAUUGCAGUGGGUACGGGCAGACUAGAGUGCGGUAGGGGAGACUGGAAUUCCUGGUGUAGCGGUGGAAUGCGCAGAUAUCAGGAAGAACACCGAUGGCGAAGGCAGGUCUCUGGGCCGUUACUGACGCUGAGGAGCGAAAGCAUGGGGAGCGAACAGGAUUAGAUACCCUUGUAGUC